GUACUCGAAGAUUUUUGCAACUCUUGGAGUUGUAUGCAAGUGUUGUGAUGGAGUUGGAGGGGCCUGCACUAGUACAUGGACUGAGUCUUGCAAUAAUCUACAGUGUUAUCCUUGGAAAUCACAUUAGCUAGUUGUUUUGUACUAUUAUAUAAAAUUAUAUAUACUCUGAAGUCUGUGUUUUGUUCUGCAUAAUGUGAACAGUUUGACUUUUUGAACAGAACUUUUGAGAAACAUUCACAAUGGUUCUUAAUUUUUUGAAGAAAUCAAUAGCUGUCAUCAAUGAACGUACGAACAUCACAGUUUUUUGUGCUCUUGAUUUGUGUUCAAAAUAAACAGGUGAAGGGUAGUUAUCAGAUUUAAUUGAUGAUGAGUGAAAUUGACGACACUUCAAAUGUGGUUGACUAUGACUUUUGGGGUUUAGAAUGAUAAGGAACUGGCUUCCACUGAAACAUGAUGAUAUGAGUAAUAUUUUACUAUCCUGAAUAUGACAGAGAUUAAAGAAUUUGGUAAAUUGAAAAUGGAAAAUGGACAAGAUUUUAUGUUUACUCUUCAUGUGAUCUUAUGUUCUCUUUGAUUUGGCUCAAUAACAAAACACCAAACAAAGGACUGGCUUUGAGUUUGUUCUUGUUGAAUGAAAUAUGUAUAAACAAUCCACUUCCUUAAUUUUGCCAAAUAAAAUAUGUACCCUUUUCUGUGCAGACAAAAGGCUGCAAACCUCGAUGCUUGAAGUUGUUUUCAGUAGGUUGUUUAGAUCACAACUGUUCCUAGGAAUAGAGUGCUGUGUUUUUUACCACGUUGAAUCAAGAUGCGAGUUAUGCAGCAAGUUAAAUCAAAUUGAUCAUUUCCCAAUAAUAGGAAUAUAGGAACUUCAUGUUACAGAUGCUGAUAGGAGAAUAAAAGUGUAUGUAAGGAGAAAUAACGGGAGAGAAUAUAUGCUAGAAGUUUGUUAGAAGGAAAGGGGAGUAUAAAUAGUAAUAAAAUAAGUGGAGAGGGAUUUUUUUAUCAGAUAUUUUACUUUUGGGAAUUAGACCGGACAUUCUCUAGUGGAGAAAGGGAGGCUUUUUUGGAAUUCUUACUUGUAAUUAUGUUUUACACACUUUACAGAAUUAAUGAAAUACAUAUACAUUCA
rnacentral:lncRNA from 1 species